rnacentral:lncRNA from 1 species
CUUAUUCAUGUUUGUAUUCUCCAUAGCCCUUAGCCCUGGCUCUGAAGCAUAAUAAGUGUUCAAUACUGACAAAGAGAUAGAUGGGUGACUAAAAGAAAGACAUCAUUCUCAGCAAACUAUGGCAAGAACAAAAAACCAAACACCGCAUGUUCUCACUCAUAGGUUGGAAUUGAACAAUGAGAACACAUGGACACAGGAAGGGGAACAUCACACACCGUGGACUGUCGUGGGGUGGAGGAAGAGGGGAGGGAUAGCAUUAGGAGAUAUACCUAAUGCUAAAUGACGAGUUAAUGGGUGCAGCACACCAACAUGGCACAUGUAUGCAUAUGUAAGAAACCUGCACGUUGUGCACAUGUACCCUAAAACUUAAAGUAUAAUAAUAAUAAAAUUUUUAAAAAAAGAAUAACAGUAAAAUGAAAAAAAAAAACAAGAAAUGAAAAGAUGAGAGUGAAGCUCGGACAUUAACUUAUGUGAGAAAACUCUGCCAGUAAAUGACAGAUCCAGGAUGUGACCUCAGACCUGUCACCAGAGCUUGUUCUCUUUCUUCUACAACACAUGCUUUAGC